AUGGUGAAAAUCUCUAAAGCUGUUCUUUCUUCUUCAGCAGGAAUCUACGGACAGUCAAUAAAUCAGACACCGCACCCUCAGCUCAUUACCAUUGGAGAACCUGUGUAUUUGGAAUGUACCUACAAAGUAUCUUCCACACCUUAUCUCUUUUGGUACAUCCACUACCCAGGCAAAGCUCCAGAAAUGUUAUUGAGUGAACUUACACAGAAAACACAGAAAGGAUUUUCAGCUUUGCACAAUAAACAGAAAACAUCCUAUCACAUGACUAAAGAGAGAGCAGAACUAGAGGAUUCAGGGGUAUAUUUCUGUGCUGUGAGUGACACAAUGACUGAAGCAGUUAGCUCAUAUGUCACACAACAUGUGCAGCCUCUGACAGCUUAUGCUAUUGUUAUCUAG